GCGCCCGUAGCUCAGCCGGAUAGAGCAUCUGCCUUCUAAGCAGACGGUCACUGGUUCGAAUCCAGUCGGGCGUACCA
rnacentral:tRNA from 1 species